UGGGGAAUAUUGCACAAUGGGGGAAACCCUGAUGCAGCGACGCCGCGUGAACGAAGAAGGUAUUCGUAUCGUAAAGUUCUGUCCUAUGGGAAGAUAAUGACAGUACCAUAGAAGAAAGCUCCGGCUAAAUACGUGCCAGCAGCCGCGGUAAUACGUAUGGAGCGAGCGUUGUCCGGAAUUAUUGGGCGUAAAGGGUACGCAGGCGGUUUAAUAAGUCGAAUGUUAAAGAUCGGGGCUCAACCCCGUAAAGCAUUGGAAACUGAUAAACUUGAGUAGUGGAGAGGAAAGUGGAAUUCCUAGUGUAGUGGUGAAAUACGUAGAUAUUAGGAGGAAUACCAGUAGCGAAGGCGACUUGCUGGACACAGACUGACGCUGAGGUACGAAAGCGUGGGGAGCAAACAGG
rnacentral:rRNA from 1 species